UGAAUUGACGGGGCCCGCACAAGCGGAGGAGCAUGUGGUUUAAUUCGAUGAUACGCGAGGAACCUUACCUGGGCUCGAACGUAAGAUGACUGUAGGUGAAAGCUUACAUCUCUUCGGAGCAUUUUACGAGGUGCUGCAUGGUUGUCGUCAGCUCGUGCCGUGAGGUGUCGGGUUAAGUCCCAUAACGAGCGCAACCCCUACCUUUAGUUGCCAUCAGGUUAAGCUGGGGACUCUAAAGGAACUGCCUACGCAAGUAGUGAGGAAGGCGGGGAUGACGUCAAAUCAGCACGGCCCUUACGUCCAGGGCUACACACGUGCUACAAUGGCCGAUACAGAGGGCAGCUACCUGGUGACAGGAUGCAAAUCUCCAAAGUCGGUCUCAGUUCGGAUCGGAGUCUGCAACCCGACUCCGUGAAGUUGGAUUCGCUAGUAAUCGCGCAUCAGCCAUGGCGCGGUGAAUACGUUCCCGGGCCUU
rnacentral:rRNA from 1 species